CGGCUCUCCCCCCGCCCGCCGCCGCCCGCAGCCAUGGCGACCGAGCUGGCGUACGCGCCGCCGAUGAAGUCCGGCAAGGCCGGCUUCGAGGGCCCGCAGGAGGCGCAGCACCGCAUCCGCAUCACCCUCUCCUCCAAGAGCGUCAAGAACCUCGAGAAGGUGUGCUCCGAUCUGGUGAGGGGCGCCAAGGACAAGCUGCUCCGGGUCAAGGGCCCCGUCAGGAUGCCCACCAAGGUGCUCAACAUCACCACCAGGAAGUCCCCCUGCGGAGAAGGUACCAACACCUGGGAUCGGUUUGAGAUGCGGGUGCACAAGCGGGUGAUCGACCUCGUCAGCUCCCCGGACGUUGUCAAGCAGAUCACCUCGAUCACCAUUGAGCCCGGCGUUGAGGUUGAGGUGACCAUCAGCGACCAGUAG
rnacentral:rRNA from 1 species